AGACCGAUAGCGAACAAGUAGAGUGAUCGAAAGGUUAAAAGCACCUUGAAAAGGGAGUUAAACAGCACGUGAAAUUGUUGAAAGGGAAGCGCUUGCGGCCAGACUCGGGGGCGGGGUUCAGCGGGUGCUCGUCGCCCGUGUAUUCCUCGUUUCCCGGGCCAGCAUCAGUUUCGACGGCCGGUCAAAGGCCCCCGGAAUGUGUCGUCUCUCGGGACGUCUUAUAGCCGGGGGUGCAAUGCGGCCCGUCGGGACUGAGGAACGCGCUCCGGCUCGGAUGCUGGCGUAAUGGCCGUAAGCGGCCCGUCUUGAAACACGGACCAAG
rnacentral:rRNA from 1 species